rnacentral:rRNA from 1 species
AUACGUAGGGGACAAGCGUUAUCCGGAUUUACUGGGUUUAAAGGGAGCGCAGACGGCAGUGCAAGUCUGAAGUGGAAGCCCGGGGCUCAACCCCGGGACUGCUUUGGAAACUGUUCUGCUAGAGUACUGGAAGGGCAAGCGGAAUUCCUGGUGUAGCGGUGAAAUGCGUAGAUAUCAGGAGGAAAACCGGUGGCGAAGGCGGAUUGCUGGACAGCAACUGACGUUGAGGCUCGAGAGCGUGGGGAGCAAACAGGAUUAGAUACCCUGGUAGUCCACGCUGUAAACGAUGAAUACUAGGUGUUGGAAGACUAAGUCUUUCAGUGCCGUCGCAAACGCAGUAAGUAUUCCACCUGGGGAGUACGUUCGCAAGAAUGAAACUCAAAUGAAUUGACGGGG